UGGGGAAUUUUGGACAAUGGGCGAAAGCCUGAUCCAGCCAUGCCGCGUGAGUGAAGAAGGCCUUCGGGUUGUAAAGCUCUUUUAGCCGGAAAGAAAGAGUCGCAAUGAAUAAUUGUGGUUUAUGACGGUACCGACAGAAUAAGCACCGACUAACUACGUGCCAGCAGCCGCGGUAAUACGUAGGGUGCGAGCGUUAAUCGGAAUUACUGGGCGUAAAGCGUGCGCAGGCGGUUUUGCAAGUCAGAUGUGAAAGCCCCGGGCUUAACCUGGGAAUUGCGUUUGAAACUGCAAGGCUAGAGUGCAGCAGAGGGGAGUGGAAUUCCAUGUGUAGCAGUGAAAUGCGUAGAGAUGUGGAAGAACACCGAUGGCGAAGGCAGCUCCCUGGGUUGACACUGACGCUCAUGCACGAAAGCGUGGGGAGCAAACA
rnacentral:rRNA from 1 species